rnacentral:rRNA from 1 species
UACGUAGGGUGCGAGCGUUAAUCGGAAUUACUGGGCGUAAAGCGUGCGCAGGCGGUUUUGUAAGCCAGAUGUGAAAUCCCCGGGCUUAACCUGGGAAUGGCAUUUGGGACUGCAAGGCUGGAGUGCGGCAGAGGAGACUGGAAUUCCUGGUGUAGCAGUGAAAUGCGUAGAUAUCAGGAGGAAUACCGAUGGCGAAGGCAGGUCUCUGGGCUGACACUGACGCUCAUGCACGAAAGCCAGGGGAGCAAACGGG